GAAUAAAGUUUAUUAAAUAAUAUAUACAGCAAAUGGAAUAAUUCAACAUCUAUUUGUCAAAUCGAUCCACUGCAAGAAAAAAAAUAAUGAACGGAAAAUCUGUGCAUAGUACAUGCUCUUGGUGUGUAAUUUAAAUGGCAAUACUUUAAAUUAACUGGUUAUAUAGAAUGUCCGUUAUUUUUCUUUCAGGAUGUCUUUUUUUGUAGUAACCUAUUCUAGCAAUAGGACUUGAUACUACUGCAGGUAAAUAGGACUGCAAAAAAAGUCAAAUAAUAAGAAAAUCUACUGUAAUUGAGAAGUUACCUUCUCUCCCAGAAAGAAUGAUUAUUGUAACACUUUACCAUGGCUAUUUUUGUGCUAAAAACCUGCAGGUCAGUUUGGAAUUCCUUCAUUUAAAUAGGCAAAAGAAAAAAACCUUCCUGACUUCCUUAUUUACCUCUGCUUCGGUUCAAAUUUUUAAAAUGAUUUUUCUAUACAAAGUAGGUACAUGGGAUAUACAAAGUUAAAUAUACAUAUUUACAGUCCCACUUCUUAAGCAUAUGAUUUUUUUUUUUUUUUUUUUCCUCUUACUGACCCAGAGAGACUGCAAAAGAUAAGUAGUUUGGGGCUUGCCUUUACCCAGAAGCAUGACUCAUCUAUCAAAAUGUGUUGUAGGGCACAUGCCUCCAGUUAGUUGCGCUUGGAUUAAUAAACCUGUAUAAAUAUCUCAGCAUAAAAAUAGGUAUUUUAUAUUCCUAAAUGUCUGAGGACAAAGGAGCAGUCGAACCCUUUGUUCCUUGUUUUAUUGUGUGUAGGAAGCUGAAGUUUGACGCAAGGUUGUAACAGAUGAGUUGAUUCAAGGCGGGCAAAUGGGUGAGGCAUACCUGGGAUUCUGGAGAUGUACAAAGUUUUGUGGCUGGCAUCAUAUGCAAAUGUGGCUUUACAAAUUGGUUUAUUUUCUAGCUGUAUUUAAAGAGGUGUUCAAAAUAACCUACUUAAUAAGUACCCCUCAAAACAGGUAAGAUUGUGUUGUUCAGGGUUUGCCUCGAAGAAAGACCAGGAAACACAUUUAGCCGGGAUAAGAAUUACAUUCCAAAAUGGGUGAAAUGCUACCGUACAAAAUGCACAGGCAUAGAUGCACUUGAACUACGUUUGGGGGUGGGGGUGGGAGAUUUGAAAGGACUGGGAGAAAGUGAGGGUACUGUGGCUGUCUGACGCAGGGUGGGUAGCUGAUGGGGGUCCUAAGAUGAGUAGUGGAGACAGACGCAGAGGC
ensembl:lncRNA